rnacentral:lncRNA from 1 species
GUGCUUUGGGAUUUCAGAGCCCCGUACUUUUAACGUAUAGCAGGCAUUCUCUACUUUUGCCAGACUCUGUUUCAAAGUGUACAGUUUCUUAGAUACUUCAUAAGGUCCAGUGUUGCCAAUGAAAGUAAAACCAUCAUAAAUCUGACGUAAGAACUGGCUCAGUUCAAAAGGUGUGUCGAUGUCACCGUUUCCAACGCUGCUGAUGCACAGUCGCAUCAGCUCUCCAGUUAGAUCAGCCACCCCCAGCAGGUAAUCUACAGGCGUCACCUUCAGGCUCCAAGUGUGUGGUUGUUUAUCCUGGGAAGUGGAGGUCAUGUUUGUUGUUUCUUCUCUGUCUUCUGCUGUAAAUACUAGUUGUUUGUUGAUCUCUUCAAUACUAAUUAAAGAUCGGGUUUUGAUAAAAUACUGAAAUGAAACAGCUUCAAUAUAUUCUUGAAGUCCUGGAGAUAUGGCUCUGUGGAAC